GAGUGGCGAACGGGUGAGUAACACGUGAGUAACCUGCCCUUAACUCUGGGAUAAGCCUGGGAAACUGGGUCUAAUACCGGAUAGGAGCCAUUUUUAGUGUGAUGGUUGGAAAGUUUUUUCGGUGUAGGAUGAGCUCGCGGCCUAUCAGCUUGUUGGUGGGGUGAUGGCCUACCAAGGCGACGACGGGUAGCCGGCCUGAGAGGGUGACCGGCCACACUGGGACUGAGACACGGCCCAGACUCCUAC
rnacentral:rRNA from 13 species